CUUUGGCCUGCAUGCAAAGUCGUGUACACUCUACAUUAUCACCUGAUUACGGCAUGCAUCAGUGCAUCCACAUUUGCCUUUUUAUAUGUGCACUUAACAUGUGCGUAUCUACGCGUGCGGGUGUGCCAGAAAGUGAUUCAAGAUGAACCAGAGAUCAGCAGAGGAAGGCCCAGCUGCUUUUCAUUGCACAGAGUACGGUGUCUAUUACCAGGAGUGCAAUCGCUUUUAAAGCUACUUGUAGCACCACUGCUUCCACUGGAGGAAUCCUUUACAUAUCUAUACAGGAAUCCAACCCUGCGACUUGAACCGGCCACAAAGCACCUAACGACAAGGAAUUCUCUCAGAAGAGGCUGUGAAGACUACAAGCAAAAAGAAGAGUACAACGUUUCCAUAAAGAAUUAUGGCCAUCCGAUGAAAAAGCCAAGCUUUGAAGUGCAGCUCUCAGAGGCUUUACACCCUAUGGGAGAGUUGCGUGAAGAAAAGAAAUCAUGAUCUACAGUCACAUGGCGCAUGCUGUAUCUGUUAGGCAAGAGGAUCAAUUUGUGGCUCGGCGUGUGGUUUGAGGACUUGGCUAGUUGUUGAACCCAGUGAUUAAUGGCUGACCUGCUCCACCACCUGAGCUUUGUAUUUAUAUAUGUAUACACAGAUUGGUUGUGGGGGGGUGGGGUGGGGUGGGGGGGCCUCAGAUGGAUAGGCUGUUUAUUUUAUCAGUUUUGUCCAAUAAGAGAACGCUCUUGGCACAAAGUAACGGUCCCUAAGUUCAGCCACACUCAACUCAAAUGCACCUCAUUGACUUGACAGUUACAAAAAACAGAGUUGCCAGAGCAAUUAUGUUGGCCAUAACACAAUUAUAUUCAUUAUGCAUGUACAACUUCCAGAAUCUAAACUUUAACCAGGCCAGAGAGAAGGGAAAGGGGGUGGGUCGUGGUGAUCAGGUCAGAGUAAAUUUGCUGAACAAAUGACAGAAAGGCCGUGCACUCGGGUGAUGAUGGGGCAGCCUCCUGCACAAAUAACGUGGAAUAAUUAGAGCUGCACUUGUGACCCUAGUGCCAAGGUUAGCACGAUGGUUGGCCCAAGUUUGCAGGUGGGCUAGGCUACAGUGAGUUUUGGGGGAGGCAGUGCAUUAAGGUUGGGCAAACAGUGUUGUUUGAUCUGCUGAUUGGGCUAGGACAAGCUGGGUGGAUGUCAACAUGAGGGUGGCGUUUACAGCCUGCUGCCGCUCAGUGUCACCUGUGUGAGCAACGCUCUGUAUUAGAGCUGAUCCUCAAGGACAAUAAAUCUUUUACGUGUGACCAAAGCUAAUGCAGAAUAACUACAGCUCAUCUUUAUUUGCCUUUUCAUUCGUAUUUCACAGAUAAAUCUGACAGCAGGGUCCUUCUGCAUUAGCCUGAGCCCCCCCCCCCCCCCCCCCCCCAAAAAAAAAUUUAAUAAGAGAGCUAAGUGGACAGAUUCAAGCAAAAAACAGGUAAAUAAAAGUAUCUGAUAAGCACUCAAAAAAUAGGAAUGCUUGAAUGAUUAAAAAAGUGAUUGUCAAAAAACAAAUGAAUGGAAUAGUUCACUAGUUGUGUGAAAUGUAAUGAUCAGCUGUUAGAUGGACUAGUGUCCCCCAACCGCUCAGGGCCCUUGAAUUCGGGCCCCUGGGACACAUUGUAAAGAUGACACCACAUUUUUCCUUCACGCACUCUGAGGAUGAAAGCGCUGAAGCAUGAAGGGCAGGACUGUGAAGAGGAGCUGUAAUGAGGAAAGCAGGUGAGGUAUUUAGCCAAAGUUUCACAGCUAUUAAAGUGCCAACACACUGGACCCCCACGGUGCUGGUGCUUCCGAGGCAUCAGCAUUUUAGUUGGAGACAGGCGGAUGUUUGGUUUGUGGAAGUUGUUUACGGUGGAGUAACAGGGUGGGAUUACAUUAGUGGGUUUUAAAUUAGCAGAAUAACCCAGAUGUUCUUAGAUGUCUAAUUUAUUUAUUUAUUUAGAAGCCUCAAACAGAACGCUUUUGUUUUACUUUCUCUAUCUUAGCUCACAGAAACUGUACAUUAUGAGGGUUGGUGCUCAUAUUGUAGGACCUGUGAGUCACAAAGUAGGCGUGCUCUGAAACAUACCCUGCUUUAUCCUCCUACUGGAUACUCAUAGCAUGAAUUGAACAUCAUGUUAUGUUUACUUAAACUUGAAACUAGCGAUUGAGAUCAUAAGCGUAUCACGAAAACGUCUCCCGAGGCCAUGAAAGGAGAGACCCGAGGGUUAUUUUCCCAAAGACCUCUUCCCACUACAAGAUUCCCCCCGCUGUCUAUCUCUUACACACAGUCUAUGGUUCCUCAUCUAAGUAACACGAGUGGUUAUUUUUACACCGUAUUACUGUCUAUUCUACCUUCUUUUUCUGGUAGAGUUUCAUUAGUAAAAUGGGGACAGCUGACCAGGAUAUGUCUUUGAGCAACUGCUUUCUUUCAUCUGAGCAAUAUCUAAAAUUAGAAACAUCCCAUGUCAGAGUGAUGCAGAAAAAAUUACUCCUAGGCUGGAUGACAACUGCUUAUUAUGAGACUGUUCUAAAAGCUUCCUGAAAUCCUGAGUUAAUACAAAACGCGUCCGAUAGAGUACUGUCAGGAGCUAGAAAGAGUGCCAUACUAAAAUCUUUCUCCUCACAUAGAAAGACCUGAAAAUCAGGCCCCUUCAUAACUUGAAGACCUCGUAGUAUCAUCUUAUCCCAGUAGAGACUGUGAGCUUAUUUGUGGUUCCUUGUUUCUAAAAGUAGGAUGGGAGGCAGAGGCUCUCCUGUGGAUCCAGCUCCCAGUUUGGAUUUAGGAGACAGGCACCCUCUCUACUUUUAAGAUUAGGCUUCAAACUCUUAUAGACAAAAGUAUUAUGUUACAACUCUUAGUCUUUGAAUUCAGGUGAUUUCAUUCCCAUUGCCACAGGUGCGUAAAGUCAAGCACCUUGCUAGGCAGCACGCUUUUAAAGCAUUAGUGAAAGAACGGG
ensembl:lncRNA